CGUCCACUUGUAUUUUUGUCCAUCUGAUGAGUUAAGCCUUUUUCAACUGAUUUUUAUAGUUCGUUCUUAUGUUGUACUGUUAUACCAUUGUCCCAGGUUAGGGGGAGGGUUGGGAUCCCGCUAACAUGUUUAACCCCGCCACAUUAUUUAUGUAUGUGCCUGUCCCAAGUCAGGAGCCUAUAAUUCAGUGGUUGUCGUUUG
rnacentral:lncRNA from 1 species